CUUAUCUUUGUACAGAACUUCUUCCCUCUCCUUCGUUCUUAUCCCUAUUUCCCUCUUUAUCUCUCUUGAGCCUAAUUAAAGCCUUGUGAAAGAAGAAUUGGUGGAGUGGAACCUUUCCUGCGUUGGAGCUGAAAGGAGUAGCCGAGCUUCAGCUCUCUGGUGUUGCUGCGUUGAGGUUGCAGCAGAAGAAGAAGAAGAAGAAGAAGUGAGCUGAGAACAACCUGGGUUCAUAUCAAGAUAAGGAUGUGUAGUUAAGAGAAUUGAUGGCAGUCUUGAUGUUUUGAGUUGCCGAGUUGAUAUCUCGGGUGUGUGGACUAGAGUACUAGCUGGAGAACAUCCCAAGUAAGUGGAAUGGGCAGAAUUGGGAGUAGUAAGCUGAGUGAAGUUGUCAAGUGAAGUUCCUGCCUGGGUGCUGUCAGAACUGAGAACAAAUUGGUGUCCUACUAAAUUAAGGGGAUUCAAUCCAGUAAAUUGGUGAAGCUGGGUUGAAGGAAUUCCUACUGUGGUAUUGCUGAAGUAGAGAAUUGGGUCACUUGCAGCAGUGAACAGCUUGAUAGAACCUUAAAUUAAGGAAUUUCAGUAGAGACCGAAUUAAUAGAAGGAAGUGAGGAAUGAUUGUUUGUUGCUGAAAAUUCAGAUUUAAAAUUGGAUUUGUGGGCUGCAGAAGUAAGGUUGCAGCUGAGGAAGGCCUUAAUGCAGAAUUUUAAUGCCUAAAGCUGAAAACAACUUGGAAGGAUUCCUACAUUGGAGUGGCAUAUAAGGGAAUUCCUGGGUGAACCGAAUUGGAGUAGGGACUUGAAGAGCUGCUGCCAGGACUGAGCAUUAGUUGAUUAGUGAUGACAGCUUGAUGAUCCAACUUGUCAAAGCUUUGGAAUGAAUUAUUCUUAGCUGUUGAAUCUAGGAAUAAAAAGGGGCAGCAAAUAAGGUGAGCUAAGUUAAUAACUUAUUAGAGCUAAUUUAGUUGUUCAGAAUUGAUCGAGAAAAGGACUCGCUGCUGCUGAAAUUUCAGAUUUUAAGUGGAGAUUUGAGGCUUUUGAGAUAGUGGAAGUUGAAUGGAAUUGGAGAAGUACUAAAUCAAGGUAAGGUCGGCGACGCACUAAUUACGGUAGAAGCCAAUUCGGCUCUAAUUGCAUUGAGUCGCGUGAUAUUGUUGUUGGCACAGUUCGAGACGUGGAUUCUAGUUGUUGACACCACUACAGGUUCCAGUGCGAGCGGUGUGGCCGAGGAUCGUGGCAAGAGCCCCGCAGCUUAGCUAGCUGACACCAGAGUAUAGUAGUUUACCAUUUUGUGUUCCUGUGAGACAUUUUGAUGUACAGAGACAUGUAAAUGAAUGUAUUAUAAAGCAUGUUAUAACUAAAUGUUUCAGUUGUACAGUUCA